AAAUAGUUUUGCUAUAUAUAAUAGGGUUCGCCAAGCGGGGGAUUUCUCAGAUCUCAUUCCCCUGCCUCUCCUCUUUCUCAUUCUCUCCCAAAUACAACCCUAAUAGUAUAUAGUUUAUGUUCUCUUCCAACUUUGACUGCGAAGAGAAGGGAAUGUUUCCUUUCGACUUUCUUUAUUGAUUUUUCUAGAUGUAUAAGGUUCAUAUUCAAAAGAAGGCGGAUGUACAAGGUUCGUAUUCAACAUCGGCCUCAACCAUCUAUCCCAUCUUUCAGUGUGACAAUGGCCAUGCGGCUUGUGCCUCUUGCUGCACCAAGAUGAGUAACAGAUGUACAAGGUUCAUAUUCAAACGGAGGCGGAUGUAAAGGUUCAUAUUCAACAUCGGCCUCAACACCGUCGGCCCUCCGAAUUGCACUGCUUUUUCGUGUCGUAUUAUCGUCAGGGAUUCCAGGGAAAGA